CAGGGCCCAGCAGCAGGGCUGGUUCUUGUCUGGGUUCCACCUACCCCCUGCCCAGGAGAGCAGGGCUGGGCAUCCUCUGGACAUGCCCUGGGCUCCCACAGGCGCUGGUGGGGACUGGGGUACUGCUGGUGCUCAUCUUCUUCCCCCUUGCCUGAUGGCAUGGGAGGAAUCUCAUGCAGAGGAUUCCACAUCUAAGCUCACCCAUGACUCUUGCUCUCCAGCAGUGCUCAGCAGCUCCUGGGAGACCUGGAGAUCUCCGUGGCCAUCCCCUUCUGCCAGUUGGGGUUUAGACAUCUUCCCCUUGUCCCUUCAGUUGGUCUCCAAAGAGCUGCAUUUCAGUUUAGUGCCACUUUUGGAAAUCUGCUGGCAUUUCUUCGGUGGUGACUGA
rnacentral:lncRNA from 1 species